rnacentral:rRNA from 1 species
AAUGAACGCUGGCGGCAGGCCUAACACAUGCAAGUCGAACGGGCACUUCGGUGCUAGUGGCGGACGGGUGAGUAACGCGUGGGAACGUGCCCCUUGGUACGGAAUAGCCCCGGGAAACUGGGAGUAAUACCGUAUGUGGUCGAGAGACGAAAGAUUUAUCGCCAAGGGAUCGGCCCGCGUUGGAUUAGGUAGUUGGUGGGGUAAUGGCCUACCAAGCCGACGAUCCAUAGCUGGUUUGAGAGGAUGAUCAGCAACACUGGGACUGAGACACGGCCCAGACUCCUACGGGAGGCAGCAGUGGGGAAUCUUAGACAAUGGGGGAAACCCUGACCUAGCCAUGCCGCGUGAUCGAUGAAGGCCUUAGGGUUGUAAAGAUCUUUCAGGUGGGAAGAUAAUGACUGUACCACCAGAAGAAGCCCCGGCUAACUCCGUGCCAGCCGCCGCCGUAA